rnacentral:rRNA from 1 species
AUGGCCUACGACGGCAUGCUGCGGUCCACUGUGCAGGUGAGUUUGGCGAGUACUAGUUCCGUAGCAUGGGGGCCUGGUGAUCUCCCAGUGCCACCCAGUGACGAGCUCGUGCAUAUAAUUGUGGCAUGUCCUGUGCCUUUUAAUUUUGACAGUAAUGCAAGAAGUUCAUUGUGUACCUGGUGCGGUUUGGUGACUCGGACAUCUAUAGUGGGUGUGGUUCCGUAUACUCAUCGCUGGAGCAGCCCACACGGUGGGGGCACGAAGCCUUCGUUGACUUUACAAGCAGUACACUUUGGUACUAUGAGCUGUUGCGCAAAAAGACAAGGGACACGAUUGAAUUUGUAUUUUUUGUUUUGA